rnacentral:rRNA from 1 species
UGCGUAGGCGGUCGGGUAAGUCUGACGUGAAAUCUUCAAGCUUAACUUGGAAACUGCGUCGGAUACUAUUCGGCUGGAGGAAUGGAGGGGAGACUGGAAUACUUGGUGUAGCAGUGAAAUGCGUAGAUAUCAAGUGGAACACCAGUGGCGAAGGCGAGUCUCUGGACAUUUCCUGACGCUGAGGCACGAAAGCCAGGGAGCAAACG